GUUUUCUCUAACAUCAAUUAUUUGUUAUCUCUCUAUUUCUUCUUCCACACAAAUUUUCAGGCUUUUGUUUUCCAAGCUAAUAGUUUUUUGGUUGCAUCAGUUUUUUCAUCAAGUGAUAAGAUCCUACGAAUUAGAUAGGAAAGGAACUUACGCUCAUGGAAAAUGAAGGAGAAAGAGAGAAAGGGGAAGCAAACAACUUUAUGGUAAAAGUAGACUCAAACAACUAAUUAUAUCUUGCUUUUGUGAAAUGACACGUAUUAGGACGAUAACUAAUUGAGAAUGGAGGGCUCACCACAAUAACAGUUGUCCAACAGGAGUACCAAACCACCUAACGCUGCACAAGGUCACAGGAAAAGACCUCGGAACCUACAUCAUAAAAUGAUAUAGUAUCUAGAGACGGUCAGUACAAUGGAUACUGAUAUGCAACCAAAGAAAAGGAAUAAAUAUACAUGAACCAAAAUGCUUAUAAAGUACAUGGAUGAAAUUUAUAUUUGCCGAAAACCAGUCAUAAAACAUGUGCUCAACAACUAAAAAGAUAAUAGAAUGCCGGGGUAGGGGACAAGAGACAUGAACAUGUUCAUUUAAAAAUUUAAUCCUAAACUAUGUAGCUCAUACCGACCUUCAGGCACCGACGGGCUAUAAGGGUCUGGCUUCCCCUGCUAGAAAGACCCCAAUUCAUAUUAACCGCUUGAAUCAAGGAAAUUUGGCCAAAGACACCAAGACGAUAGUCUUCUAAAAAUAUAUUGUGUAAAGAAGACCCUUAACGUCGGCAAAUGUGGUUUUCAGUGUUGGUCCCUCGGGACUAAACCUUCUCGAUGAGCUACACAAUUCCCUUUAAGCUCAACUAAAAUAUUUUCACAUAUCAUUAACCAUGGAGUUUUUCAUUAAGGCAUUCCCAAAUUGGUAUCAUCAUACCAAUAGACUUGCAAGUCAUUCCAAUUAUGCCAUACUGUAUUCAUUUAAUCAUUUAGACUCAAAAUUUUAUUUAAAAAUCCAUAACCA